AAAAGGGAAAGCCGCAGGGGCAAGACCUCGAGGCGCCGGGGGCCCCCCUCCGGCGCCCCCACCUCCGCGCCAACACCGAGUAGGAGAGCGGGGCGGAGCGCCGCCUGGGUCACUCUGGUUCAGAGAAGCGGAGGAGGCGGGGCUCCUGGUCUGAGCAAAGAGGAGGAAACCCUUCCUCGAAGCCACACUCUCCAGUCAAAGAAGACACGUCCUCGUCGGGUCCCGUCCUCUGGGGGAGGAUUGACAAGGUCUGUGCUCCCAACCUCCCGGACAGCUCCUGCAUCCGCCUGCUAUGGCGUGGGCUUGCGGGAAGACACGAAGGCGGGAGAGGCUUAUGUCCUCUGGAUUUCCCCGUCUUAUCCCAGAAGACAAAGCCAGGUGAGGGCUGGAAGCGGGCUAGGGGGGCGAAGCAGCCUCCCUCCCUUGUGUGCCAGCGGUGGUCCCCAGAAGGAGCUGAUCUGAACAGACCAGAGGGUAGGACCGGCCGUCACACUCCAGCCUGGGCCCCACUCCUUGGGCUCUUAGAGUCCUGCCUCAAGAACCACUUCCUGAGUCUUGGUGUAUGUAUGUAUCUAAAGUCUUGGUUUAUGUGUGUACACAAAGAAGGAAAGAAACCUCUGGGCUGAACUGAGAAGCAGCUUCCAGGAUCAUGGCCUUCCCGCCGGACACACCAAGCCAAUUCCCGACCUUGUUCUCCCUAGCCAUGGAGGGCAGGCUGUGGAGGAGGAGCGAAGAGCUGAAAAAAGGAGGAUUCAGGUUCCUCAUUGUGCUGCCACUAGAUGCCAGGCAUGUGCUAGGCACGGGGGCUGCAAGGAGAGGAAGACAGUGGCCCUGCCCUGUGCCAGCAGGCAGAACCAAGUUCUGGCCACACUGAAGAAAGGCAGAAGCCUGCUGCGGCAGCUGGUUAAGCUCAAAGGGACGAUAGGAGAAUGGAUUUCAUGGAGCAGGGUGGUGUGCUCAAGGUGACCUUGGAGAAUAAAGGGGAGAGCUCCAGGGACAGGGAAGCAGUUAACUGUGAAAAAAAAAAAAAAAAAAAAGAGCUUUUUUUUUUUUUUGAGACGGAGUUUCGCUCUUGUUACCCAGGCUCGAGUGCAAUGGUGCGAUCUCGGCUAUCUCGGCUCACUGCAACCUCCGCCUCCUGGGUUCAGGCAAUUCUCCUGCCUCAGCCUCCUGAGUAGCUGGGAUUACAGGCAGGCGCCACCAUGCCCAGCUCAUUUUUUGUAUUUUUAGUAGAGUCGGGGUUUCACCAUGUUGACCAGGAUGGUCUCGAUCUCUUGAGCUCAUGAUCCACCCGCCUCGGCCUCCCAAAGUGCUGGGAUUACACGCUUGAGCCACCGCGCCCGGCCAAAAAGGAGCAUUUUUUUAAAGUAUAUGACAGCUUGGGGUUGGCUGGCUCGAAGUGCUUGGGAAGGAUGUAGUGAGAUGUGUUGAAGGUGGUCUGAAAACCAAGAUUGAGAGACUUUCGAUACAUAACAACCAACUUGGUCCUUCACUGAAUAAUUGUCUGAACAAACCAGCUGUGAAAGACAUUUUGGGACAUAUAAAUAUGGACUGAGAAUUAAACAUGAGAAAAUUAUUUUGUGAACUGUUAUCAUGGUUAACAAAACGGGCAUAUCAUGAUAUGAUUAUAUCGACAA